ensembl:snoRNA
UCUGCUGUAUGUGAUGACUAGACUUUUUUCCCCAGCAGAUCGACACUGUUGACCAUAAUCUGAUUUAAGCCAAACAUUGUCUGAUACACAGA